rnacentral:rRNA from 1 species
UACGUAGGGGGCAAGCGUUGUCCGGAAUCAUUGGGCGUAAAGAGCGUGUAGGCGGCCAGAUAAGUCCGCUGUGAAAACUCGAGGCUCAACUUCGAGCUGUCGGUGGAAACUAUUUGGCUAGAGUCCGGAAGAGGAGAGUGGAAUUCCUGGUGUAGCGGUGAAAUGCGCAGAUAUCAGGAAGAACACCUGUGGCGAAGGCGGCUCUCUGGUACGGAACUGACGCUGAGACGCGAAAGCGUGGGGAGCGAACAGG